rnacentral:rRNA from 1 species
ACGGAGGGUGCAAGCGUUAAUCGGAAUUACUGGGCGAAAACGGAAGGAGGGCGGUUGGUUAAGUAGAAGGGGAAAUCCCGGGGUCAAACCGGGGAAUGGCUUCUGAAACUGACAAGCUUGAGUCUGGUAGAGGGGGGUAGAAUUCCAUGUGUAGCGGUGAAAUGCGUAGAGAUCUGGAGGAAUACCGGUGGCGAAGGCGGCCCCCUGGACGAAGACUGACGCUCAGGUGCGAAAGCGUGGGGAGCAAACAG